UACAGAGGUGCCAAGCGUUAGGCGGAAUCACUGGGCUUAAAGCGCGUGUAGGUGGACGGGUAAGUAUCUUGUGAAAUCCCACGGCUCAACCGUGGAACUGCUGGAUAUACUGCUUGUCUUGAGGCACUUAGGGGCAGCUGGAACAAAUGGUGGAGCGGUGAAAUGCGUAGAUAUCGUAAGGAAGACCAGUGGCGAAGGCGAAUCUCUGGACAGUUACUGACACUGAGGCACGAAGGCCAGGGGAGCAAACGGG
rnacentral:rRNA from 1 species